CAUAAGGGGAAGCAAGCUUAAUAUUUAAUAUAAACUAAAAGUUUGGUCAGACAAGAAGACAGUGGAAAAUAAGUUAAAUUUAUGGAAAACAAAAUUACUCUGGAAAGCAGGUAGAUUAAGCUAGAUUUAAAGAGCAGUUAAUCAAAGACACAAGACAAACAAAGUGUUUUUCAUCAACCAGCAGCAGAAAGCCUGCAGGAUUCAUCAAUCUUCUUGCUUAGCCCUGAGACACAAUGUGUUCCACAGUUCCCAGAUGCUGGUUGUGUAAGGAAGGGUUAAUGGCAGUUGCUAUUAAGGCCAGUGACUCAUUAUCCAACCUGAACUGAGGCAAAUUAGGAGUGGCUCCCUCAAAGGAAGGAACUGAACAGUCAUUAGGAAGAGCUAACAAAUAACCAUGUCAGAGCAAGAGCAGAGGUGAAUGUUAUCAGUUUAGUCUUGGUUGCUCUGUUAAGGAAAGUCAGUCCCACAGCAAGAUGAACAUGGACACAGACUGUGGAAAAGACUAGCCACUGUGACCUGAAAGCUUGGUGCGUCUUGCUGUGGACCUGCUGCCCCCAAACUUCCCCAUUCUUGCUGCUGUAGAAGAGCUCCCAACCUUCACCUCACUGCCAGGUCUACAGGUGGCCAUGGGCUCACCCUGUGGGCAGCAAGCAUCUGCCUCAGCUGCCAGCCUGCUCCUACAAACCCCACAGCUUGCACAGAGCAGUCGAGCUGAGCUGAUGCCAGGAAAGUGAAGAUCUUGUAAGACAAUGUUUAAACUUGUGUAUUCCCAGCUUUUUUACAGGUUCCCAGAUCAGGAUGAUGCAUGGAAAAAGCACGCAGAUAAAGCAUCAUUUGCCCUAACAUGUCAUCAGAAACUGACUUCCUAAAGGUAUGUUUCAAGUUGGAGAAUACAAACAGAUGUGUGAUAUUUUUCCAUUUCGGAGCAAUCAUUAUAAUAUCACUAUGAUGCAGAUUACCUUCAUGACUUCUUAAUCUCAAUGCUGACAGAGAGAGAGUGAUCUAAAUUUGCAGAAGCAUCAUCAUUGAAGAACUCUCAAUUUAGUGCAGCAAUUCUUGAAAAUAUAUUGGCCCAGCUGACAGUACUGGGGAAAAGAUUAUCUCUUUCAUGGACCAACACUGCAACAGCCCCUGCUCUCUAAUCUAAUGAGGGAAACAGCUCUAAUCUAAAAUCUAUUAGGCUAUUUAUUUGUCUUGUAAUUUCCUCCUAAAUGAAAAUAGAAUUAUUCAGCUUUUUGUCAUGAUGUAUAGAA
rnacentral:lncRNA from 1 species